rnacentral:rRNA from 1 species
GUGGGGAAUAUUGGACAAUGGGCGCAAGCCUGAUCCAGCCAUGCCGCGUGAGUGAUGAAGGCCCUAGGGUUGUAAAGCUCUUUCACCGGUGAAGAUAAUGACGGUAACCGGAGAAGAAGCCCCGGCUAACUUCGUGCCAGCAGCCGCGGUAAUACGAAGGGGGCUAGCGUUGUUCGGAUUUACUGGGCGUAAAGCGCACGUAGGCGGAUCGUUAAGUCGGGGGUGAAAUCCUGGAGCUCAACUCCAGAACUGCCUUCGAUACUGGCGAUCUUGAGUCCGGAAGAGGUGAGUGGAACUCCUAGUGUAGAGGUGGAAUUCGUAGAUAUUAGGAAGAACACCAGUGGCGAAGGCGGCUCACUGGUCCGGUACUGACGCUGAGGUGCGAAAGCGUGGGGAGCAAACAGGAUUAGAUACCCUUGUAGUCC